GGCUGUUCUCGGGUGACGUACCACGGAAUCAGGCUCCUUCCUCUCUGGUUCCAAGUGCAUCACCCAAGAACUGCA
rfam:Myotis davidii contig81299, whole genome shotgun sequence.